rnacentral:misc_RNA from 1 species
CGCAUGUCAACACAGUAUUUGUGAUUCUCUAUACUAAUCCAUCAUCUAUCAUAGUUGAUCAUUUGCUUCGUGUUUAACUGUUCAUUCGCAUACACUUGGAGAAACCAGAUAGAAUGUGCUAUUGCCCUAAAUCCUCAUUUUUAAUUCCAGAAGGAUUCACCGUUAACAAAUGCCACACUUUAAAGACAGUCUUGUCAUGUACGACACUCCAAUACGAAUAACUAUAAUCCACCCACCACUCCCAACAAUCACCUCAAUAAAAAUUAAAAGAAACCAACAGAACAUUAUGAAUCACAAAACACUCAAACAGCACAAUUUGCAAACUCCAGUCUCAAUAUCUUCAGUUGAAACCAACAUAAAUCGACCCACACUGUGCACAUUAAAUUAUACACUUCAACCAUCAUAUAAGUCAAAAUAUUCCCAAGUUAUAUUAAUCACCUAUCCCUUCCUCAUAUUUGCAUCGAAGCCUCGAGACACUGAAGCGAAGGGGAAUAGCUUAAGCAAGAAAAAAAGCAUAAAUCACAAAGUCCAGAAAACUGAUAAAAAUUCUAGCCACCGUCUAAAUCUUCAAAAUUUAUGGCAAACAACUUCAUUGUAAUAUCCAAUUCACAGCAUAACAUUCCAUUCUAUUGUGCAACUAAAAGACCCUAGCAAAUACUACAAUUUCAAAUAAAAAGACCUACUUUUUAGCCGAUUUCUUCUUCGAAUUCACAGGCUGAAGCUGAGGCUUGGGAUGCUUCUCUGCUUCACUAGGAUCCAACCAUUGGAGAGGAUGGCGAUUAAACCAAGGCCAAUUGGGAACAGUAAUCAAUGUAGUGAGAACCACUCCACCAGCAUAAAUUUGGAUCAUAGUUUGAAAUGAUCCUAAUAUAUAGCCAGCAGUGAAGGCCACCACUGCAAAUACUAGCAGCAUGAUCUGCAUCAGUUGCUCAGCUAGCUUCUGCCCUUGCCAAUCCAUCUAAAACAAAAACAAGCAGCCAAAUUCAAGAACCACAGAAUAUAGUGAACGGAAAACCUUAGAUCACCAUCAAUUAUUGAUUGAGAAAUGUGAAGGCAAUCGAAUUUUGGGGGUGGAGUUUUGGAAUCUGACCUAGAAUUCACAGAUCUCGUCGAAUCAGAAAAUAUGGUGUCCGAAAAAGAGCAGGGAUUCAUAUGGAAAUUGCAAGUAUGCUACUUCUAUCUUUUAUUGCAUGUUAAUAAAAAAUAUGAAGACCGUUAAAUAAGAUACUGGAAAUGUAUGAUGGGAUCAAGUAGUGUUAGCCACAAACAUAGAAUCCUGGUCUCCUUUUUAUUGAAACAUAUCUCCUUCCAAGCUACUAGUGUUGUAUUUUUCUCACUACCUUCUUAUGUGUCACAUUGCUAGCGUAUACAUCAUACUCAUUUGAUGUGUUAUAACUUCUGCUACUUACCUGCUGCCCUCGAGUAUGAAUCAAUACUCAAUAAAUUUAAAACUAUAAAAUCACAAAAUGAUUAUUAAUGUGAGAUUUGAAAUAAAUUUACUGAAAUUAUAGUUUAGAGGGUUAUGAAUGAUUGUAAUUUAUAUUUUUUCAUUAUAGUGUAAAUUUGCGCAACAAAUUGAAAAAUAGAAAACAAGAAAGAAAAUUAUUGGACAAUUUUUGGUAGGCAUCUUAAUGAAAACAAAAAGGGUUAUUAUCAGCAAGGGGGUCAUUGUCAACUGAUUUAUAAGAUGAAUCAAAGACCAUACCUUCUGCCAUUUAGAAUAGAAAUUAAAAGUAAAAUAUAGGAGUAUAUAUGCAAAUUUUUCUAGAGAAACUAAGUUUGACCAAAGAUAAUUCAAUCUACAAAAAGGGAGAUUGAGAAAUUAAGUAGUUUACCUCACUAAUAAGACCAAACAGAGACAGAAAUCAAGCAAAAAAAUUUCCAUUGCACAGGCACAAACUAUAAAAUUUUAAAAUUUUCAAGUAAAUAUACAAAUAUUCCCCACCAUGCUUCUGAUAUUUACACCUUAUCCACUUUCAUUGAUAUACUGACAAUGUAGCGACAGGACAGCCAUGACUUUAUACUUUUCCUAGCUAAUAUAUCAUCAAAACUAACAUAGCCUAAAUUUCAUGCUUAUGCUUCUGAUAUUUGUAAUUAUUGGUGCCGCUAUUCAAAGACCCAUUAAAAACCCAGAUUCUUCUAUCCAUUAAAAACCCAGAUUCUUCUCAUUUCUAUCCAUUAAAUGAAAUAAACAAAAAGCACGCGCAAACAGACCUAGAUGCAUCAGAUCUAUGGAGAACACGAAGGAAAUCAAUAUAAAUCAAAAGCUGAAACUUUGAAAUGAAUCAAACAGAAGGCUCAUAAUAUAUCUACAACAACAUCCACAAACAAAUCCAAUAAGGCAUGAAAAGGAAAGCAAUGCCAUGAAAGUGGAGAGAGAGAGAGCUUACUCUAGAGGAGCUCAGGAGCAGGAUCGAAGAGAGGCGGACGGUAUAAAACCUUGAUGAGAUGAAGGAGCUGGUGGUGUCGUCGGCGAAAGGGAGAAGAUUAGAGGGGAGAAAUCGAACAAGGAAACGAAGGACAAGGAGACGAGGAACCGGAUGCAGAAGGAAAUCCGAG